rnacentral:rRNA from 1 species
AUUGAACGCUGGCGGCAUGCUUUACACAUGCAAGUCGAACGGCAGCGCGGGCUUCGGCCUGGCGGCGAGUGGCGAACGGGUGAGUAAUGCAUCGGAACGUGCCCAGUAGUGGGGGAUAGCCCGGCGAAAGCCGGAUUAAUACCGCAUACGACCUGAGGGUGAAAGCGGGGGACCGAAAGGCCUCGCGCUAUUGGAGCGGCCGAUGUCGGAUUAGCUAGUUGGUGGGGUAAAGGCUCACCAAGGCGACGAUCCGUAGCUGGUCUGAGAGGACGACCAGCCACACUGGGACUGAGACACGGCCCAGACUCCUACGGGAGGCAGCAGUGGGGAAUUUUGGACAAUGGGGGCAACCCUGAUCCAGCCAUGCCGCGUGCGGGAAGAAGGCCUUCGGGUUGUAAACCGCUUUUGUUCGGGAAGAAAUCCUCUGGGCUAAUACCCUGGGGGGAUGACGGUACCGGAAGAAUAAGCACCGGCUAACUACGUG